UACGUAGGGUGCGAGCGUUAAUCGGAAUUACUGGGCGUAAAGCGUGCGCAGGCGGUUUUGUAAGCCAGAUGUGAAAUCCCCGGGCUUAACCUGGGAAUGGCAUUUGGGACUGCAAGGCUUGAGUGCGGCAGAGGAGACUAGAAUUCCUGGUGUAGCAGUGAAAUGCGUAGAUAUCAGGAGGAAUACCGAUGGCGAAGGCGGGUCUCUGGGCCGUUCCUGACGCUGAGACGCGAAAGCUAGGGGAGCGAACAGG
rnacentral:rRNA from 1 species